GAAUCUAACUUCAGGACGGGGACAACAGUUGGAAACGACUGCUAAUACCCGAUGUGCCGCGAGGUGAAACCUAAUUGGCCUGAAGAAGAGCUUGCGUCUGAUUAGCUAGUUGGUGGGGUAAAAGCCUACCAAGGCGACGAUCAGUAGCUGGUCUGAGAGGAUGAGCAGCCACACUGGGACUGAGACACGGCCCAGACUCCUACGGGAGGCAGCAGUGGGGAAUUUUCCGCAAUGGGCGAAAGCCUGACGGAGCAACGCCGCGUGAGGGAGGAAGGUCUUUGGAUUGUAAACCUCUUUUCUCAAGGAAGAAGUUCUGACGGUACUUGAGGAAUCAGCCUCGGCUAACUCCGUGCCAGCAGCCGCGGUAAUACGGGGGAGGCAAGCGUUAUCCGGAAUUAUUGGGCGUAAAGCGUCCGCAGGUGGUCAGCCAAGUCUGCUGUCAAAUCAGGUUGCUUAACGACCUAAAGGCGGUGGAAACUGGCAGACUAGAGAGCAGUAGGGGUAGCAGGAAUUCCCAGUGUAGCGGUGAAAUGCGUAGAGAUUGGGAAGAACAUCGGUGGCGAAAGCGUGCUACUGGGCUGUAUCUGACACUCAGGGACGAAAGCUAGGGG
rnacentral:rRNA from 1 species